GGAAGGCAGAGUGGACAGAUUCUGUUCAAGGGGAUUCCAGACCGUGCUGUGCUAUGAAGCAGGUCAAUGAGCUGAAAGAGAAGGGCAACAAGGCCCUGAGCACGGCAACAUAGAUGAUGCCUUACAGUGCUACUCGGAAGCCAUUAAGCUGGAUCCCCACAACCACGUGCUCUACAGCAACUGUUCUUCCCCUUAUGCCAAGAAAGGAGACUACCAGAAGGCUUACAAGGAUGGCUGUAAGACCAUGGACCUAAAAGCCUGACUGGGGCAACAGCUAUUCACAAAAAGCAGCAGCUCUAGAGUUCUUAAACCGAUUUGAAGAAGCCAAGCGAACCUAUGAGGAGCACUUGAAACAGAGGCAAAUAACCCUCAACUGAAAGAGGGUUUACAGAAUAUGGAGGCCAAGUUGGCAGAGAGAAAAUUCAUGAAUGCUUUCAACAUGUCCAAUCUGUAUCAGAAGUUGGAGAGUGAUCCCAGGACAAGAACACUGCUCAGUGAUUCUACCUAUCGGGAGCUGAUAGAGCAGCUACAAAACAAGCCUUCUGAUCUGGGCAGCAAACUACAAGAUCCCUGGAUCAUGACCACUCUCAGUGUCCUCCUUGAGGUCGAUCUGGGCAGUACGGAUGAGGAGGAACAGGUUGCAACACCUCCACCACCACCCCCUCCCAAAAAGGAGACCAAGCCAGAGCCAGAGGAAGAAGAUCUUCCAGAGAAGAAGAAGCAGGCACUGAAAGAAAAAGAGCUGAAAAACAAUGCCUACCAGAAGAAAUACUGACCCAGCCUUGAAGCAUUACGACAAAGUCAAGGAGCUGGACCCCAGCAAUAUGACUUACAUUACCAAUUAAGUAGUGGUAUACUUUGAAAAGGGCGACUACAGUAAGUGCAGGGAGCCUUGUGGGAAGUCCAUUUAAGUGGGAGAGAAAACAGAGAAAACCAUCUACUGAUUGCCAAAGCCUAUGCUCGAAUUGGCAAUUCCUACUUCAAAGAAGAAAGGUACAAGGAUGCCAUCCAUUUCUAUAACAAGUCUCUUGCAGAGCACCAAACUCCAGAUGUGCUCAAGAAAUGCCAGCAGGCAGAGAAAAUCCUGAAGGAGCAAGAACAGCUGGCCUGCGUAAACCUGGACCAGGCUUUGGAGGAGAAGAACAAAAGAAACUAGUGUUUUCAGAAAGGGAACUAUCCCCAGGACCUGAAGCGUUAUACAGAAACCAUCAAAAGGAACCCGAAAGAUGCCAGAUUAUACAGCAAUCGAGCUGCCUGGAGUUCCGCCAAACUCCUGGAGUUCCAGCUGGCACUCAAGGACUGUGAGGAAUGUAUCCAGCUGGAGCCAAGGGUUCAUCAAGGGUUAUACACGGAAAGCCGCUGCCCUGGAAGCGAUGAAGGACUACACCAAAGCGAUGGAUGUGUACCGGAAGGUGCUAGACCUGGACUCGAGCUGUAAGGAGGCGGCAGACGACUACUAGCGCUGUAUGAUGGUGCAGUACAACCGGCAUCACAGCCCGGAAGAGGUGAAGCGAGGAGCCUUGGCCGACCCCAAGGUGCAGCAGCUCAUGAGUGACAUAGCCAUGCGCCUUAUCCUGGAACAGAUGCAGAAGGACCCCCAGGCACUCAGCGAACACUUAAAGAAUCUUGCAAUCGCACAGAAGAUCAGAAGCUGAUGGAUGUGGCUCUGAUUGCAAUUCGGUGA